CGGAGAAGCCAAGCUUGCUUGGUGGAUCAGUGGCGAACGGGUGAGUAACACGUCAGCAACCUGCCCUGGACUCUGGGAUAAGCGCUGGAAACGGCGUCUAAUACUGGAUAUGAGCUCCUUCCGCAUGGUGGGGGUUGGAAAGAUUUUUCGGUCUGGGAUGGGCUCGCGGCCUAUCAGCUUGUUGGUGAGGUAAUGGCUCACCAAGGCGUCGACGGGUAGCCGGCCUGAGAGGGUGACCGGCCACACUGGGACUGAGACACGGCCCAGACUCCUACGGGAGGCAGCAGUGGGGAAUAUUGCACAAUGGGCGGAAGCCUGAUGCAGCAACGCCGCGUGAGGGAUGACGGCCUUCGGGUUGUAAACCUCUUUUAGCAGGGAAGAAGCGAAAGUGACGGUACCUGCAGAAAAAGCGCCGGCUAACUUCGUGCCAGCAGCCGCGGUAAUACGUAGGGCGCAAGCGUUAUCCGGAAUUAUUGGGCCUAAAGAGCUCGUAGGCGGUUUGUCGCGUCUGCUGUGAAAUCCCGAGGCUCAACCUCGGGCCUGCAGUGGGUACGGGCAGACUAGAGUGCGGUAGGGGAGAUUGGAAUUCCUGGUGUAGCGGUGGAAUGCGCAGAUAUCAGGAGGUACACCCAUGGCGAAGGCAGAUCUCUGGGCCGUAACUGACGCUGAGGAGCGAAAGGGUGGGGAGCAAACAGGCUUAGAUACCCUGGUAGUCCACCCCGUAAACGUUGGGAACUAGUUGUGGGGACCAUUCCACGGUUUCCGUGACGCAGCUAACGCAUUAAGUUCCCCGCCUGGGGAGUACGGCCGCAAGGCAAAAACUCAAAGGAAUUGACGGGGACCCGCACAAGCGGCGGAGCAUGCGGAUUAAUUCGAUGCAACGCGAAGAACCUUACCAAGGCUUGACAUAUACGAGAAUGGGCCAGAAAUGGUCAACUCUUUGGACACUCGUAAACAGGUGGUGCAUGGUUGUCGUCAGCUCGUGUCGUGAGAUGUUGGGUUAAGUCCCGCAACGAGCGCAACCCUCGUUCUAUGUUGCCAGCACGUAAUGGUGGGAACUCAUGGGAUACUGCCGGGGUCAACUCGGAGGAAGGUGGGGAUGACGUCAAAUCAUCAUGCCCCUUAUGUCUUGGGCUUCACGCAUGCUACAAUGGCCGGUACAAAGGGCUGCAAUACCGUAAGGUGGAGCGAAACCCAAAAAGCCGGUCCCAGUUCGGAUUGAGGUCUGCAACUCGACCUCAUGAAGUCGGAGUCGCUAGUAAUCGCAGAUCAGCAACGCUGCGGUGAAUACGUUCCCGGGUCUUGUACACACCGCCCGUCAAGUCAUGAAAGUCGGUAACACCUGA
rnacentral:rRNA from 1 species